GGCAACCCCUCGAGAGUGGCGAACGGGUGAGUAAUAUAUCGGAACGUGCCCAGUCGUGGGGGAUAACGCAGCGAAAGUUACGCUAAUACCGCAUACGAUCUACGGAUGAAAGCGGGGGACUCGCAAGAGCCUCGCGCGAUUGGAGCGGCCGAUAUCAGAUUAGGUAGUUGGUGGGGUAAAGGCUCACCAAGCCAACGAUCUGUAGCUGGUCUGAGAGGACGACCAGCCACACUGGAACUGAGACACGGUCCAGACUCCUACGGGAGGCAGCAGUGGGGAAUUUUGGACAAUGGACGCAAGUCUGAUCCAGCCAUUCCGCGUGCAAGAUGAAGGCCCUCAGGUUGUAAACUGCUUUUGUACGGAACGAAAAGGUCUCUAUUAAUACUAGGGGCUCAUGACGGUACCGUAAGAAUAAGCACCGGCUAACUACGUGCCAGCAGCCGCGGUAAUACGUAGGGUGCAAGCGUUAAUCGGAAUUACUGGGCGUAAAGCGUGCGCAGGCGGUCAUGUAAGACGGAGGUGAAAUCCCCGGGCUCAACCUGGGAACUGCCUUUGUGACUGCAUAGCUAGAGUACGGUAGAGGGGGAUGGAAUUCCGCGUGUAGCAGUGAAAUGCGUAGAUAUGCGGAGGAACACCGAUGGCGAAGGCAAUCCCCUGGACCUGUACUGACGCUCAUGCACGAAAGCGUGGGGAGCAAACA
rnacentral:rRNA from 1 species